rnacentral:rRNA from 1 species
AGAGUUUGAUUCUGGCUCAGGAUGAACGCUAGCGGCAGGCCUAAUACAUGCAAGUCGAGGGGCAGCAGGGGUAGCAAUACUCGCUGGCGACCGGCGCACGGGUGCGUAACACGUAUGCAACUUUCCUUCAACUGGAAGAUAGCCCGAAGAGAUUCGGAUUAAUAUUCCAUAGUUAUAUGAAAUGGCAUCAUUUUAUAUUUAAAGCUCAGGCGGUUGAAGAUGGGCAUGCGUUCGAUUAGCUAGUUGGUGAGGUAAUGGCUCACCAAGGCUACGAUCGAUAGGGGAUCUGAGAGGAUUAACCCCCCACACUGGUACUGAGACACGGACCAGACUCCUACGGGAGGCAGCAGUAAGGAAUAUUGGACAAUGGAGGCAACUCUGAUCCAGCCAUGCCGCGUGAAGGAUGAAGGUCCUAUGGAUUGUAAACUUCUUUUGAACGGGAGAAAACCUUCGGUCGUGUACCGAAGCUGAUAGUACCGUUAGAAUAAGGGUCGGCUAACUUCGUGCCAGCAGCCGCGGUAAUACGAAGGACCCGAGCGUUAUCCGGAUUUAUUGGGUUUAAAGGGUGCGUAGGCGGAAUGGUAAGUCAGUGGUGAAAUCUUGUGGCUUAACUGCAAAACUGCCAUUGAUACUGCCAAUCUUGAGUACAUUUGAUGUGGGCGGAAUGUGCCAUGUAGUGGUGAAAUACUUAGAUAUGGCACAGAACACCGAUCGCGAAGGCAGCUCACAAAACUGUUACUGACGCUGAGGCACGAAAGCGUGGGGAUCAAACAGGAUUAGAUACCCUGGUAGUCCACGCCUUAAACUAUGAUUACUCGAUGUGUGCGAUACACAGUACGCGUCUAAGCGAAAGCGUUAAGUAAUCCACCUGGGGAGUACGGUCGCAAGAUUGAAACUCAAAGAAAUUGACGGGGGCCCGCACAAGCGGAGGAGCAUGUGGUUUAAUUCAAUGAUACGCGAGGAACCUUACCUGGGCUUGAAAGUUAGUGAAUGCUGUGGAAACAUUGCAGGCCGCAAGGACACGAAACUAGGUGCUGCAUGGCUGUCGUCAGCUCGUGCCGUGAGGUGUUGGGUUAAGUCCCGCAACGAGCGCAACCCCUAUCUUUAGUUGCCAGCGAGUAAUGUCGGGGACUCUAAAGAAACUGCCCGUGCAAACGGUGAGGAAGGUGGGGAUGACGUCAAGUCAGCACGGCCCUUACGUCCAGGGCUACACACGUGCUACAAUGGCGAGUACAAAGGGCAGCUACAUGGUGACAUGAUGCUAAUCUCUAAAACUCGUCUCAGUUCGGAUUGAAGUCUGCGAUUCGACUUCAUGAAGCUGGAUUCGCUAGUAAUCGAAUAUCAGCAAUGAUUCGGUGAAUACGUUCCCGGGCCUUGUACACACCGCCCGUCAAACAAUGGAAGCUGAGGGUACUUAAAGUCGAUAACCGCAAGGAGUCGCCUAGGGUAAAAUCGGUAACUGGUGUUAAGUCGGAACAAGGUA